AUUGAACGCUGGCGGCAUGCUUUACACAUGCAAGUCGAACGGCAGCGCGGGCUUCGGCCUGGCGGCGAGUGGCGAACGGGUGAGUAAUACAUCGGAACGUGCCCAGUAGUGGGGGAUAGCUCGGCGAAAGCCGGAUUAAUACCGCAUACGACCUGAGGGUGAAAGCGGGGGGUCUUCGGACCUCGCGCUAUGGGGGGGGCCGAUGGCCGAUUAGCUAGUUGGUGGGGUAAAGGCCUACCAAGGCGACGAUCUGUAGCUGGUCUGAGAGGACGACCAGCCACACUGGGACUGAGACACGGCCCAGACUCCUACGGGAGGCAGCAGUGGGGAAUUUUGGACAAUGGGCGAAAGCCUGAUCCAGCAAUGCCGCGUGUGUGAUGAAGGCCUUCGGGUUGUAAAGCACUUUUGGCGGGAACGAAAAGGACUGUGCCAAUACCACGGUUCGAUGACGGUACCCGCAGAAUAAGCACCGGCUAACUACGUG
rnacentral:rRNA from 1 species